AUCGAUACUCAAUAUUUUUUUCUGCCGAUUUGCAUGUGGAUGUGCUGAUUCUUUGAUUCUUCCUUUCUUUCAAAUACUACUUGAUUGCUACUUUGCUUGCUAUUAUAUCAUCAGCUUCUGCUGUUGAUGAUGAUUCGUUGAUUGUUUUGUGGUGGCAGUAGCUAGUUUUGGUGAGAGAUCGAUCAUAUUCAUCACUAGUUCAUGCAAUUUAAUCCAGAUUAUUUACGUUGUUAUGAAUGAUUGAUGAUGUGUAGCUGCUUCCUCAUUUUUCGGGAUUACAUUGAAUUAGGUUUCUCAUUUCAUAAUGGGAAUGAAAAACCAUCAUUCAAAUUACAUUCGUUUGUUAGGUUUUCUAUUCCAAUAUAAGAUUAGUUCAUGCAAAUUUCAAAUUAGGUUUCCUAUUUUAUUAUAUAGUCUGCACUAGUUUUUUUGAACAUAAAAUUAUUCUUUUAUGGCUAACUUUUGUUCGAGAAUCAAUCAUUGUUACUAUUUCUAUGAUUUACCGCCUAAAAAGACGAGAUUGAUUCUAUGAUUUUCACGUAUGCAAAUUGGAUUAUUUAUUCUAGCCUUUUCGAGAUGUGCGUAAUUAAUUCUAUGGCGGAAGAUUUUGGGAAUUAGGGCUCGCCAGAUUUUUGGGCACUGAAGAAAGAACUUUCGAAAAAUAAUUAAAUGGGCCUCUAGUAUCGCUCACGGCGGCAUCUCGCCGCAGCCCAUCCACCGUCGUUAUCCGCCGCAAAUUGUGCCGUGCGAAUUCAGAUUAUUUUUUACAUCGAUGGAAUUUAGUGGAAUGCAGCUUCUCUCGGAGCUGGGCACGGUGGUGGCGCAGGGCUGCGAUGCCUCCGCCGCCGCCAGUCGGUGACGAGGUAGUAAUCAGUUGUUUCCUAUUCAAUUUGCUUUUUGCUGUAUUUUGAUCGUUGUAAUUUCGAUAUAUUUUUGGUUUAGGGUUUAUUUGUUCAAAUUGAUUGGUUUAUCUUUUCACUAAUUUUAUUUCAAUCUAUCUUUUUGAAACCUAUUCGUGUUUAUGGUGAAAGGAUAACUGGGAGUGAUUUUGAUAUUGCUCUAAAAUCGACUCCAUGAAUUUUGAACUGAAGUCAAGAAAUAAUUGUUGAUGCAAUUACUAGGUAAUUAGAAGGGAUAUAAUCUCCACUGCCCUAGAAUCUAAAAAAGACCAAAUAUUAGUUUAGAUGGUGAUGAAGAUGUGUGAGAAAGCUGCUGUUGUUAGCAUCAGUUUCAUCACUUUUUGAACUUGGUAGAAUAAGGGUGCAAUGAAGAUGAGGUUCUAAUGUGCCUGCUGUUGCUUGUUCCUUGGAUUUGAAACACGAGUGCUACGUGUUUAUCUUCCAAUCUCCAACUACAACUAUAUCAUUCAUUAGCUGCAAGGUUCAUCCGUUCAUGGUUAUGAUGACCUCAAAGUGCCUAAUUUGGUGCUUUGCAGCGCUCGCCCAAUGCUGGAUGUGUAUUAUGUGAUGUAGCAUGACCAAUUCUCGUGACUGUUGAGUUAUUGAGCUAUACUUUAACUACUUUGUUGUAUGUUCGGUGUGACUGAAUCGUUUCUCCUUUCACGAGUUUCUCCAUGACUGAUUAGUGUGCUAUGACUUUGUAUUAUGCACUGAUGAAGUGAAGUAUAGUGUCAUAUAUUAAUGAAUGAGGAUGGUUAAUUUUGCGUAACAGUAUUUACUUUCUGAACACAUUAAGUAACACUGAGGAUUGCUGCUCACCUAAAAUAGACUAUUAAACAUGGUUUAAAUUUUUAGAGUUACAUAGAUUUAGUAAAAGUUGUAGAAAAGGAAAUCUUAAUUUAAAUUUGGUCUCUCCGCAUGAUAAACGUAUCAUUAGUCAUUUUCCAAUUAUAUGUGAUAUUUAAAGAAAAGAUGAGUAAAGAGUUGUGUAGCAGUUUAUGCUUGAUAUGGGUGAUGUUAGCUAAGCCCUUUUUAUUACUUCCUCCUUCCCAGAAUACAGUCCCAUAUUCAUUUUUGUCUCAACAUUAUAGUCUACCUUCUCUAAAAAAAUUGCACCAACUUAUCUUAUCUGUAAUAUUCCACUAUUAAAUGGUCUUGAAAAUAAUACUUUCAUUUUAGAAGCGUAAAUGAGGAUAUAUCACGGGAUUUGUAUGUCCAUUUUACUUCACUCGCACUAAAUGCAUUUUCCUAUUAUAAAUUUGGGACUGAAGGAGUAAAGUUUUUUGGCCAAAUGCAUUCGAUAUUAACAAAGUUGGCGAGACAUUUGUUCCAAUUCUGAAUCAUGCACAGCCUACGCAUGACGCGUCACUAGUGUACGUGUCGAGCACAUGUGCAUUGCAUGCCACCGAUUAACCAUCUGUCAUGCGCGAGAUGUGCAUAAAUACCGGCCCUGCCUCUUCCAUUUCAUGCUCAAUACAUUGGAGCUCUUGUUAUCAAGGGCUUUUCUUUUGUUCUCUUGUAGUGGCUUUUUUUUCUGCUUGAUUGGGAUAUUCUCAUAGUUGCUGAUGAAUUUGUCAGGAGUGUUUACAGGGCUUGGAGAUAGAAAAUGGAAAUCCCUUAUGAAUCUGAUGGGAGAAGCUCUUGGGGGGAAUGAAGGAGUUGCAGAUGCAAUGAACAAGAAUAAGAGGCACCUAAGUGGUGGUAUUCCUCCCCUUUAUAAAGAAACAGGAUGGUACUAUCCAUUCAUUACGAUAUGAAGAAAUCGCUUGUUAACCCGACGUCAUAUGGGCUGGAAGAUUCAAAUGAGGCGGAGGGAAGCUGCGUCUUUAGGCAGGGGCGCAAGCUCGAUGCUAACACGAGGCCUCGUCUACCGGCGUCUAGCUUCUUUACCUCACGUCUUCCAUUCCCGCCUUUGCCUGUCUCCGAGAGAUCGAGGCAAGACCACAGGCUCGAGGCUGUGUCAUCACCAAAAUCAAGAAGAUGGACUACAUCUUCUGUCUAAGAAUAUAAGAUGCGCCUCAUUACUAUGUUUAGAGUUUUUAGUUAUUUAAAUUCAUAUGGUUUGCAUCGCUGCUGCCUGCUGGUUUUUUGCGAUGGUAACUGCAGUAGAUUAAGGUUUGUCUGUGUCAAUUUUCUAGUGUAGAUGUGAUGACUUCAACCCCCAACUUAAUGAUUGGAAGGGAAGCGUCCUAUCGAGUCCUAUCGAGAAACGUCUUAGCAAUUGAAUUGUGCUUUUUAGGGUGUGUUCUCUUUGGUUGUAAAUUUAUCAUGAGCAAUGAAUGAAAAAGAAAAAGAUGGAAUUUUUUUUUAUCACA